CAACAAGGUAUACCUUCUUUUCCGGAAGCUCAUCUUCAAAGAACUCCAAAGUUAAGCGUGCUUGGCUUGGAGCAAUUUGAGGAUGGGUGACCGACCGGGAAGUUGUUCCCGGGUGCGCAU
rnacentral:rRNA from 1 species